GACCAGCACCUCAGACUGAGCAGUACUGCACCUGGCCAUGUGGUGGCCGAGACAAAUUGCAACCAGCUCUUGAGACAAGGGGCUAGACUUUGGGGGUUGUGGUUGGCCACUGAGGCAGGUGCAAGGACUGUUGCUAACCUCCCCCCCCCGCCGCCCUUCACCCUCAAAAGGGGAUGAGGAUGAAGGACACUAUCAAGCAGGGAGCAACACGGGUCCAGCCAUCAACGGAGGACAAGAGAUGGACAGGACACUGCCAGCAGAGGGCGCUCCCCAUGGACUGAGCUAAUUUCCGGAGCGACCAGCGGGAGGUGCUGUGGUGGCCCUGGGAUCUGGCACAGCUUCCCAGAUGGGCGCAUCCUGUACCGGAGCCAUGUCAGGGGGCAGUGGGGACAGGUCACCUCGUCCCAGCAAAGCAAGCAAUGCUGGCUCUCAAAGAGGCUUAGAUGGAAGACCCCAUUCCCUCAUGGAGGUAAGAGCCAUUUACUCCUUGGAGCCUGUGGGUCUCUUGGGGGAGAAAUGGCAUCCCCAGUGCAUAGCCUGGCUGGGAGCUUCCCCCUUUUCUGGCUCCCAGCUCUGGGACAGAGACUUCUCCAUCAUCGUACCACCCUGGUUUUGUUCCUAGGAAGGGGCUCCCCAGAGACGUCCUCGAACCUGGACUCCUGAGAGCAUUUCUGGCAGGAGACUCCAGCCCCUCGGGCAUGAAGAGAGCAUCGGGUAGUCUCGGUCGCCAGUUCCACUUCCCACAGCAGGGAAAAUGAGCCCAUCAGCUCCCAGAAUCCCAACUCUUUGACUUCCUUCCGCUCAGCAGUGAGGUUUCUCGAGCCCCCUCACCACACCUGUCAGCCUCUGAAUGUCAGAGUCACCAGAAGGAGCAAACUCCAGUUCCAGGCAGUGGGGCCUGUGUGUAUUCAGCCCCUCUGGAAACCAGGUCUGAAAUGAGGAGCAAGGACCCCAGGCCAAUAACAGUAGGAGUGGGCAGAGCAGGCCUGUAAGAGGGUGCUUUCCCCUGGGCUGCACAGCCUGGGACCUAGCCAAGUUGAGGAUAGAACGAGCCCUAACUGAGAGGCAAAAGAGAGGCCAGGCCCUCCCCCUCGAGCGUCGCUUAUUAUAAAUUUUCAAAAAUGAAUACAGUGGAGUCACAUCUUACGCAGGGGUUAGGUUAUAAGGUCAGCGGGUGUCAGGGUUGAAUAGUUCUCCCAUGGUCUCUAAGGAAGGGGACAUACAAGGCCAUAGAAAAGGCUACCAAGGCCAGCAAGGGCAAGGCCGCGCCAAAGUCAGGCUGAGGAACAGCCCCGAAGGGACGGAGGAGCUUGUUUCGGUUAAAGACAUUUUUGGACUUUUCGUUUGGGGUGAUCGCGACCCAGGAAGGAGUGGAAUAAAAGACGGUCACCUGGCUGAAGGGCUGAGUUCCCAGGCAAAAAGCUGCCAGAGUGCCCUAGCGACUCUCAGCGGGGGCGCUAGCCCAGCAAGAAAGCUGUGAGACCAGCCUUGCCAGGAAGGGGCGCCUCUCGGUGAGUGAACUCUGUUACAAGCCUGUUUCCAUUAUGGAAACAGCCUGGUAUUGGAGAGUGCUGGGGAUGGCCUAUGGGAGAGGAUGGCUGGAGGGGUCAUACAGAAGGGGCAGCAGGGUGCAGUGAUGAGAGCAGGGAACAGGUUAUACAGCAGCACUGCCACUGAGUGGUAACGUGAUCCUGGCCAGGUCACUCUCCCAUCUGGUGCCUCACUUUCUCUAUCUUUGAAAUGAGGAUCAUCCUGUCCCACAUGGAGAAAGUGUUUGAUCCUCUGCUCUUGAUUCCCAAAUCCCUGCCCUCCUUGCCCCACACAGGCCUCUGCCCAUGUUAGUGCCUGGGUCACCCUGCAACUGCAAGGUCUCAUGUACAGUCUCCUGCCAGCAAACUGAAACCGCCCCUAGAUCCAGAAUAGGAAUUGCAGUUCCUGUGCGCUGCCCUGAAUGGAGUCUAGACCAUGGGCAUGGGGAAGGCCAACGCUCACCUCCAGGUAGAUCAUCAACCUGCUCCUCUGUCCCAGGAGCAGGAAGGCCUCUGGUUCUUGCUCUCUUGGUAGCUGGAGCUGCUAAGUUAGGGGUGCGGUGGGCCAUUGGGCCACCAGUGAUCAGGGCAGAGCAGUGUUUAACCAGUUACCAAUCCAUGAGAGGACCUUAUGAUGGACCUUAUGAUUGUACAGUUGAUUCAAUUGCUUAUUCUUUGGGAUUCAGAACCUCUGUUCUCCCUCAGAGGUGACAGAACCCUGACUGUCAAAUCUGUCUUUCAGGCUCUGUCCCAGCCUCUCACACAGAUCCUGCAGCCAGCCCAGCUCAUCCUGUCAAACCAAGCAACAUGGGUCCCAUUGAAGCUCAGGUAGAAGAUCCCAGGCACCUCCUGGAGGGCUCGCCAUCCGUCUUGGAGCUGAACCCCAGAUGGGAGCUGAUUGUCCUUGGUGAGCCGUGUUCUUGUGUGGGAUGGAGCUGAGGGCCAGAGAGGGCCAGGAGCAGAUGCAUCACGCCUGGCCAGGACCGGGCUAAACAGCCUGUAACACUAGACAGGCAGCCCGUGAGUCCAGUUUGCAGAAUGUGGAAGAGCCCUUUGGUGAUGUUUUGGAGGAUUCCCCACGUAGGUGGCAGCAGCUGCAGUGCCUGGGGUCCCCAUGGGCCAAGCCUCCACUCCUGACACUCCAGGCUAAUCUCCCCUGCUCUCAGCGGGGCUUGGCUUUAGCUGCUGGGCCUGCGUGCCUAGACAGAGGACUCAGGUAUUUCCAUCAGGCUGCUCAAUGGCAAAUGCAGCCACCCAAAGAGGUGAAGAAGAAUGGAAGCGAAAGCACAAAGCUGGACCAUCCGCUGAGCUGUUGCAAUCAAGUGAGCAGAGCCGGGGAGAGAAGAGGGAGAACUCGAAGGUGGCUGGCGGCAGUAGGGAGGAGAAGCAGUUUGGGAGCCAAGAGAGUAGA